GUGUGGAUAGGGAAAAGGUGCGUCGAGACAGGAUCACUAGUGUGGAGCAACAGAGAUUACUGACGAGACAAGGAAAGAAACGAACGUCCUCCAGCAGUUCAGAUAGUUCUGAUUCUGAGGAUCAGAAACCAAAGGCGAGAAAGAGACAUAGAGUUAUCCCUAAAGCUUACAUGAUGUAAACUUCUUAUGAGGUAUGUAGCACGUAGUUCUACAGAAUAAAGACCCAUAGGGCGCUUCCAUUAACACUGCCAUACCGGUCAGAACGGUCAAAUAGAAUUUACCGAUUAUUCUCUUUUACCCAAUGGCCUCGUUUUCAUGUCAAAUACUUACUCAUGUUUUAUGCUUAGUAGGGUUGAAAAUUACUUUGUUAUUGAGCCUAAGAACAGCAAGAAACAAAUUCGUCCAGGAAAACAUAGGAAUAUAAUCUUUAUCUGCCCCUGACAUGCUAAAAUAAGUUAACAUGGAAACGAGGCCAUUGGGUAAAAGAGAAUAAUCGGUAAGGUAUAUUGUUGAAUGAAACACAAAACGUUUGGGCUUUGGAUCUGACUGGAACAUUUUGAUAACAUUACAAUGAGGUCCAUUUUCGCUAGAUAUUUGAGAAACAUAGACCAGAUCUUUCCAUUGAUACAGAGACAACUAGAGGGCACUCAGAGACUGCAUACCUCCGCCCCCAUUGAAUUUCGGUCGCGUGAAAUGCAACUAAGACAAUAGAUAAUGAAGACUGAAGCUUAAUGAGGUUUAUCAUCUCAUUAUUGUCUUAGUACUGCGUGCAUACAUUAUACACGUCCUAAUUACGCAUUCAGUGAGUUUUUUUUAAUUGACCGGGAAAAGCAAGACAAAAUUUUGUUCAUUUCUCGUUCAAUUUUUAACCAAAUUCAACCAAAUUUUAACCAGUUCUUCCUUAGCCGAUGGGAAAUGCAUUCAAAAAAUUUCGUAUGAAUAUGUUUGGUAUUUCUUGAGUUAUCGUGCUCACAGACAAACACACACACAUACACACACACACACACACACACAUACAUACAAACCCAGAACAUACACACACACACAUACACACACACACACACACAUACAUACAAACCCGGAACAUACACACACACACAUACAAACUCAGAUGAUUACACAACCUCCUGGCGGAGGUAAAAAUUCGGGUCUGACCGGUCAGGCCAUUAAAUGGAAAGCGCCCUUACUCUCUAUUCUGUGACCACAGGUUCAAUUCCUGCCAGAAGGUUUAUAGUUGCAUUUUUCGCAACAGCUCCUGGUUAUGUCUACUAAAUGUAUAAAAUUCACACUCGCAAUGUCGUUUCAACUGUAGAAAGGUUUGAUUUCUAAUGUUCCCUGCUUGCUUUCCUAUUAUCGACAGGACUUUGGCGAGCUUCGUUAUAAAUUGACGUAAUCAUGGCAUUCCCAAUAUGGCGACUGAAGUUGACAAAAGUGAACACGACGAAUAUAUGGCGUCUGGCGGUAAACAGCCGGAUAAACUGGUAACCAUUAAAUGAUGGCUAAACUUUUAGACGAAAAUGGCGAUUUUUAUUUUGUCUUUGUUAUGUAUACUAGUAAAAACAUCUCACACAUUCAUUGAUUCUUGUUAGCAUUAACAAUAGCUAGAAAUGUUGUUCACUUUGAGUUCUUUUUUAUGCUUUUUUUCUAUUAAAUGAUACUUGGUAUUCUGCUGAU